CCCAAGAGGCUGGACAUCUAAAGAGUGACCCAGCCUGACAUGAACCAAGCCCUUCUAAGGCUAGAUUGUAAGAUCCUUGAGGGCAGCAUAUCCUCUGGAAAGCAGCCAGGACUAGAAUGUUCCGAAGUCCAGUUAUACAAGAUGCAAGAUGCCUGUUUGUUUGAUGGAUAACCUAUCCAGGAACAUUGAAGAUCCUGUGUGAUCAAUGAAAAUCUUUGGUGGUGUGUGACAUUCCCCAGUGUGCUGGAGGAAGGGAGAAGAAAGUCAAAUUUCAAGAAACAGAGUAUGCCACCUGGAAGGGCAAAAGAAAGGAAAAACAGCAGUAAUAAACCAACCCAAGCCCAAAGAGUAGCCUCUUGUGUUUGCUGAA